AUUGAACGCUGGCGGCAGGCCUAACACAUGCAAGUCGAACGGUAACAGGAAGAAGCUUGCUUCUUUGCUGACGAGUGGCGGACGGGUGAGUAAUGUCUGGGAAACUGCCUGAUGGAGGGGGAUAACUACUGGAAACGGUAGCUAAUACCGCAUAAUGUCGUAAGACCAAAGAGGGGGACCUUCGGGCCUCUUGCCAUCGGAUGUGCCCAGAUGGGAUUAGCUAGUAGGUGGGGUAACGGCUCACCUAGGCGACGAUCCCUAGCUGGUCUGAGAGGAUGACCAGCCACACUGGAACUGAGACACGGUCCAGACUCCUACGGGAGGCAGCAGUGGGGAAUAUUGCACAAUGGGCGCAAGCCUGAUGCAGCUAUGCCGCGUGUAUGAAGAAGGCCUUCGGGUUGUAAAGUACUUUCAGCGGGGAGGAAGGGAGUAAAGUUAAUACCUUUGCUCAUUGACGUUACCCGCAGAAGAAGCACCGGCUAACUCCGUGC
rnacentral:rRNA from 1 species